rnacentral:rRNA from 1 species
AUCGAACGCUGGCGGCAAGCCUAACACAUGCAAGUCGAACGAGUGGCGAACGGGUGAGUAAUGUCUGGGAAACUGCCUGACGGAGGGGGAUAACUACUGGAAACGGUAGCUAAUACCGCAUACCAUCGGGUGUGCCCAGAUGGGCUUAGCUAGUUGGUGGGGUAAAGGCUCACCUAGGCGACGAUCCCUAGCUGGUCUGCGAGGAUGAUCAGCCGCACUGGAACUGUGACACGGUCCAGACUCCUACGGGAGGCAGCAGGGGGGAAUAUUGCACAAUGGGCGCAAGCCUGAUGCAGCCAUGCCGGGUGUAUGAAGAAGGCCUUCGGGUUGUAAAGUACUUUCAGCGGGGAGGCGUUACCAACAGAAUAAGCACCGGCUAACUUCGUGCCAGCAGCCGCGGUAAUAC